GGGCUAUAGCUCAGUGGGAGAACAUCUGCUUUGCAUGAAGAAGGUCCCAGGUUCCAUUCCAAGCAUCUCCA